rnacentral:rRNA from 1 species
ACAUACGGCCAUACCUUUGGGUCAAAAUACCCGGUCCCGUUUGAUCCCGGCAAGUCAAGCCCAUAAGGGGCGGAUUAGUAGCUAGGUCGGUGACGACUAGCGAACACCGGCUGCUGUAUGUU